GAUCCUGGCUCAGGAUGAACGCUGGCGGCGUGCUUAACACAUGCAAGUCGAGGGGCAGCGGGGAGUAGCAAUACUCCGCCGGCGACCGGCGCACGGGUGCGUAACGCGUAUGCAACCUACCUUUAACAGGGGCAUAACACUGAGAAAUUGGUACUAAUUCCCCAUAACAUUCGAGAAGGCAUCUUCUUGGGUUAAAAACUCCGGUGGUUAAAGAUGGGCAUGCGUUGUAUUAGCUAGUUGGUGAGGUAACGGCU
rnacentral:rRNA from 1 species